rnacentral:misc_RNA from 1 species
GUAGGUGAACCUGCGGAAGGAUCAUUAAUGGUGCUUGCAGAAAUGCUUGCACGGCGGCGGCCUUAAAACGCGCCAAAUGGGCACCCUUUGUUUACGAGUACCGUUCGUUUCCUCGGUGGGCUUGCCUGCCAUGAGGACCAACAAAAACCUUUUGUAGUAGCAGUAUCUUCAGUAAAAACAAAUAUUAGAACUUUCAACAACGGAUCUCUUGGUUCUG